ACUCCACGGGAGGCAGCAGUCGAGAAUCAUUCGCAAUGGGCGUAAGCCUGACGAUGCGACGCCGUGUGAGCGAAGAAGGCCUUAGGGUUGUAAAGCUCUUUCGCUUGGGAACAAGAGAGUAUGCUGAAUAAGCAUGCGAUUUGAGGGUACCAGGUAAAGAAGCACCGGCUAACUCCGUGCCAGCAGCUGCGGUAAUACGGAGGGUGCAAGCAUUAAUCGGAUUUAUUGGGCGUAAAGGGCGCGUAGGCGGAAAUACAAGUUAGAUGUGAAAGCCCGGGGCUCAACCCCGGAACGGCAUUUAAAACUGUAUAUCUAGAGGGUAGGCGGAGAAAAUGGAAUUCCACAUGUAGCGGUGAAAUGCGUAGAUAUGUGGAAGAACACCGGUGGCGAAGGCGAUUUUCUAGUCUAUACCUGACGCUGAGGCGCGAAAGCAAGGGGAGCAAACAGGAUUAGAUACCCUGGUAGUCCUUGCUGUAAACGAUGUAUACUUGAUGUAGUCGGAAUCAACCCCGAUUGUGUCGAAGCUAACGCGAUAAGUAUACCGCCUGGGGAGUACACUCGCAAGGGUGAAACUCAAAUGAAUUGACGGA
rnacentral:rRNA from 1 species